rnacentral:misc_RNA from 1 species
AACGCACAUUGCGCCCUCUGGUAUUCCGGGGGGCAUGCCUGUUCGAGCGUCAUUGUCACCAAUCCAGCCCGGCUGGGUGUUGGGCGUCGCGGCCAUUGGCCGCCCGCCUCAAUGUCGCCGGCCACGCUGUCCGUCCCCUCGCGUUGUGGCAUCUGUCUCGCGUCGGUGGCCGGUCAGGGUGUGCCGCUCAACCCAAUUCUUCUCAGGUUGACCUCGGAUCAGGUAGGGAUACCCGCUGAACUUAA